AGAUUGAACGCUGGCGGCAGGCCUAACACAUGCAAGUCGAGCGGCAGCACGGGUACUUGUACCUGGUGGCGAGCGGCGGACGGGUGAGUAAUGCCUAGGAAUCUGCCUGGUAGUGGGGGAUAACGCUCGGAAACGGACGACUAAUACCGCAUUACGUCCUACGGGAGAAAGCAGGGGACCUUCGGGCCUUGCGCUAUCAGAUGAGCCUAGGUCGGAUUAGCUA
rnacentral:rRNA from 1 species